ACUCUCAUAGACAGAAUCUUCUUCCUUCUACUCUUUCACAAGGGCCACUUUCCUCAUCUCAUUUUCACCAGAGUCAACCCUCCAAAUAUAGCUCCCCUGUUCCCUUCUGACAAGGAAGACUGGCUUUGCUUAAAAAAAAAAAAAUUCCCGUGUCAAGCAGACGGUUUUCAGAAAUGGAUCUGAUGGGCGAUGUCCGCCCUGCUGCUCAUUUGGAAAAAGUCCUCCUUGUUGCUCCAGCUGACGAAGUUGUGAGAAGGUCAAGAUGGCGGUAAUCCCUGGGAGACAGAUUCUACUUUACUAGAGGCCACAAGAAGCCUUUGAAUGGGGUCUGCAAACUACGAGAAGCAACUGAUCCUGGAGGCCCAGACCACCCUCCAGACUUAACAGAAUGAUAGCAGCCCUUCUUUUUGUGACCUUCUCUCUAGAAGACUGAGGGCACGCACCCUGCAUAUGCCCUCCAAGGUUGUGCCAGCAGCCUGUGAACCCAUGAUGGCUAAGCUGGAAAGGAUUCAAGUAUCAGCCCCAUGACAGUGCAUCUAUCUGUUAUCCAAGAAUCACUCACCUAAAGGAGGCUCAUCACCUGGUCACAGAGGGGUGAAUUUUAAGACACUCCAAGAGGUCGUCAGAAGUUUGUAAUCAGAGUUAGUGAGAGAGCAGAGGCCUCUCAAUGAAGCCACAAAACCUGGAAGUGUGACUCUGUUGGUGUGCAGAAAGAGAUCUGCCAUCUGUGGUGGGUUAAAGUAAUUCAACCAACAAGCACUUAUUAGGCACCAACUGUGUGUCAAGCAAUGUGCCAGCUCCCAGGAAUACAAAGACAAAACCAAAAUGGUUGCUGCUCUCAAGGAGCUUAUGUUCUACUGGGGAGAGAGACAACGUUCACAGCUAAGGUGGCACAGAAUAUAAAGAAAUCAAUAGCCAGAAAAAAAUCCGUGAUCAAAAAUAUGUGUGGUGCUGGUUAAUUGAUUGCUCUUAAAUGAACCUUUAUUAGUGGGGAAUCAAGAAAGGUCUGCUGAAGAAGGUGGCCCCUGAGCUGAAGCUUGAAGGGAUGGAAGAGAUCCAAGGGUUGGUGGUGAGGAAGACAACCAUCCAGGCCUGGGGGUAGCCUCUGGAAAGGCAGUGGCAGAGAGAGCGUGUCACAGCGUAUGGGGAGCUCUCAUAACCAGCCCAGAGACAGAGAGUCAAAGGCACUGAAUGCCAAACAGGUUUCAUAAUCGAUCUUAAAGGCAACGGAAACACUGAAGCUUCUCAAGAAGAAACACGACAGGACAUCAGCUGCCCUAUAUGAGUAUCCAUUUGGCAGCGUGGCAAGGAUGGAAGAAAUGUUUAUAAGCCUUUAUUAAUGAAGCACUAAUUAUGUACCAUCGCCUAUGCUACGCCCAGGGGACACAAACAGAAGCCGGUAGUUCUGCCCUCAAAGGGCUCACCCUUUAACGGGGGCGAGGUUGCAGCUGCAGGGCCAAUGGCAAGGCCCAGAGGUACCACCUUCAGUGGCAUUCCCAGAGAUCAAAACCAUGUCCACCUCUGAUGCUGAGACUUCCGGCAGGGCCAAGGAUGUGGGCACUAAGUCUCCAGAAUCCCUAGCUGCUGAGGAGGUGGGGCUGUGGCACCUGCAAGGGUAGUGGCAUCACAAGAUGAUGACAGCAGGAGCUGGUCUGGAGGAAGGCCGGGCACUGGGAAGCACUGCCAUUCUUGAAGUACCAGGGGUCAGGCUGUCUCCAUUUGGCUCUGAGUGGAGGGGAUGACUGAGGUGGUGGUUUGAGCCACCCAGAACGUGGCACCCUUUGUCUGACCCUUAGAACACUUUGCCAGAAACGAAUGAGGGGAGAGACUGGAUACAGGAAGGCUGACCAGGAGGAGGCUGUGGCAAUGGUCCAUGUGAGAGGGGAGGAAGGCCUGCGCCAGAAAGGGCAGGAUACAAGUGCAGAGAAAGGGAGAGAUGCAAGAGAGGACAAGCCAGACUGGCCUCCUGGCCAUUCCUCCCACAUGACGACCAUGUCCGAUCUCUCCGCCUUGGUGCUCUCCGUACCCAUGACUGGUAGGUGUUCCUCCUCACUGCCACAUCACAGGUGCCUCGCCGCCCAAGCCCCACCUUCUACCUGAAGUCUCUCCCGACCCUGCCUAAAACUGCUAGCCCCGCCCCCACCUGUCCCUAACAGCCCUGUAUUUCACUAGUUAGUGUUUACUCUUCAUAUUCCACAUGUACUAAUUAUCUUCCCGACCCCGUGGAAGCUCCUGGCUCACCGGGAUUGUUCAUUCAUUGUAUUUAUAUCCUCGGUGCUCAGCACAGUCCCUGGCACAUAGUAGAGACUUAAUAAAUACUUGUUGACAUAUUCAUCUUCCUAUUUCCCUCAUCAUUUGUACUGAAAUUACAGCUAAUUAGAGCAUUGGAUAGAGUGCCCAGCUGGAAGUCAGGAAGACUCAUAUUUACAAGUUCAAAUCUGGCC